GCCUGGCCCUAAAUCUUGAUGCUCGAUCUUACCGGAGCAUCCGCCCGAGAACUACGAGCACAAACGCUUAAAACUCUAAGGACUUGGCGGUGUUCCAAACCCACCUAGAGGAGCCUGUUCUGUAAUCGAUGAUCCACGAUAUACCUGACCAUUCCUUGCCAGAACAGCCUAUAUACCGCCGUCGCCAGCCCACCCCGCAUGAAGGUUCAACAGUGGACGCAAUAGCCCUCCCCGCUAGUAAGACAGGUCAAGGUAUAGCCUAUGGAAUGGAAGCAAUGGGCUACAUUUUCUAGAUUAGAACAAACGGCAAAGGGACAUGAAACGGUCCCUGGAAGGCGGAUUUAGCAGUAAAGUGGGACAAUCGAGCCCUCUUUAAGCCGGCCCUGGAGCACGU
rnacentral:rRNA from 1 species